rnacentral:rRNA from 1 species
CCUACGGGGGGCAGCAGUGGGGGAUAUUGCACAAUGGGGGGAACCCUGAUGCAGCGACGCCGCGUGAGCGAAGAAGUACCUCGGUAUGUAAAGCUCUAUCAGCAGGGAAGAAAAUGACGGUACCUGACUAAGAAGCCCCGGCUAAAUACGUGCCAGCAGCCGCGGUAAUACGUAUGGGGCAAGCGUUAUCCGGAUUUACUGGGUGUAAAGGGGGCGUAGGCGGCCUGCCAAGUCUGGUGUGAAACCCCGGGGCCCAACCCCGGGCCCGCAGUUGAAACUGGCGGGCUGGAGUGGCGGAGGGGCAGGCGGAAUUCCGAGUGUAGCGGUGAAAUGCGUAGAUAUUAGGAGGAACACCGGUGGCGAAGGCGGCCUGCUGGACGAUGACUGACGCUGAGGCUCGAAAGCGUGGGGAGCAAACAGGAUUAGAUACCCCAGUAGUC